rnacentral:rRNA from 1 species
AACGAACGCUGGCGGCAUGCCUAACACAUGCAAGUCGAACGAACUCUUCGGAGUUAGUGGCGCACGGGUGCGUAACGCGUGGGAAUCUGCCCUUGGGUACGGAAUAACUCAGAGAAAUUUGUGCUAAUACCGUAUAAUGACUUCGGUCCAAAGAUUUAUCGCCCAAGGAUGAGCCCGCGUAAGAUUAGCUAGUUGGUGGGGUAAAAGCCUACCAAGGCGACGAUCUUUAGCUGGUCUGAGAGGAUGAUCAGCCACACUGGACUGAGACACGGCCCAGACUCCUACGGGAGGCAGCAGUGGGAUAUUGGACAAUGGGCGAAAGCCUGAUCCAGCAAUGCCGCGUGAGUGAUGAAGGCCUUAGGGUUGUAAAAGGCU